CCUACGGGAGGCUGCAGUGAGGAAUAUUGGUCAAUGGACGAGAGUCUGAACCAGCCAAGCAGCGUGAAGGAUGACUGCCCUAUGGGUUGUAAACUUCUUUUAUAUGGGAAUAAACUGUUCCACGUGUGGGUUUUUGUAUGUAUCAUAUGAAUAAGGAUCGGCUAACUCCGUGCCAGCAGCCGCGGUAAUACGGAGGAUCCGAGCGUUAUCCGGAUUUAUUGGGUUUAAAGGGAGCGUAGGUGGAUUGGUAAGUCAGAUGUGAAAGUCUGCGGCUCAACCGUAAAAUUGCAGUUGAAACUGGCAGUCUUGAGUACAGUAGAGGUGGGCGGAAUGUGUGGUGUAGCGGUGAAAUGCUUAGAGAUCACGAAGAACACCGAUUGCGAAGGCAGCUCACUGAACUGCAACUGACACUGAGGCUCGAAAGUGUGGGGAUCAAACAGGAUUAGAUACCCGAGUAGUC
rnacentral:rRNA from 1 species